rnacentral:lncRNA from 1 species
CAUUUGUCCAACUGCCUGGCCUUGGCACCCUGGUAGGAAUCUUUGUUGACCACCACCAUCACCACAACGAAGGUACCGAAAGGGGGAAAAGGGGAAGCUGUGGGAUCCUUAAUGUAGAGAAUAGGAAUGACGAUGAAGAAUCCUAUGCCAGCAGGCUUUCUGCAAUUCAUCCUAAUGGCUUGUUUUGGGUUUGUCACAAUUUAAUGAGAAAUCCCACUUUGAGAAGACUCCAGAUGAGAAAUGUUUAACCCCUACAAGAUUUCCUGCCCAAUGGCAAGAGUGGAAGAAGAGACUUCUCUCUAUUUUUUUUUCGCAUCAAGGUCUCUGUAAUUCAUGCCAAUUGCUUCUCCCAAACUUUGUGUCUUUUCCCUUGAGAAGCAAAGCACAUACAUGUUUUAAUCUAUGAAUUUUAUGCAUUUUAACUUGUUUCAAUUUGAAAUCGCUUUAAAGGCUUCGGGUUUUUAAAUUGUCUUAUAUGGCUCUGUAAUCUCUAGAUGGCUCUUUCCAUAUAGGGCAUGCUAUAAAUGGUUUAAAUAAAAUAAAAUAAUAAAAUAAUAAUAAUAAAGCA